rnacentral:rRNA from 1 species
UGGGGAAUAUUGCACAAUGGGCGGAAGCCUGAUGCAGCGACGCCGCGUGGGGGAUGAAGGCCUUCGGGUUGUAAACUCCUUUCGACAGGGACGAAGCUUUUGUGACGGUACCUGUAUAAGAAGCACCGGCUAACUACGUGCCAGCAGCCGCGGUAAUACGUAGGGUGCGAGCGUUGUCCGGAAUUACUGGGCGUAAAGAGCUCGUAGGUGGUUUGUCGCGUCGUCUGUGAAAUUCCGGGGGUUAACUCCGGGCGUGCAGGCGAUACGGGCUGACUUGAGUGCUGUCGGGGAGACUGGAAUUCCUGGUGUGGCGGUGAAAUGCGCGGAUAUCAGGAGGAUCACCGAUGGCGAAGGCAUGUCUCUGGGCAGUAACUGACGCUGCGGAGCGAAAGCAUGGGUAGCGAACAGG